UCAAUCUCCUUCUCUCUCCUUCGAUCUCCUUCUCCAUAACUGUCACUUUCCCUUUUCUUUCUUCUUUCUUUCGAUCUCCUUCUCCUUCUCUGUCCGAAAUCGGCUCAAAUCGAACAUGUUCAUAUUCUCUGCUCCUUCAAUGUUCCUCAACGUCUCCUGAAUACUGCGAAUACUCUUCAUGGUGGGAGUUGAGAAGGCUGUGUCCUUGUGGAUUGGGGAGUUGUUUGGUUCUUACUGCUAAUACGGAGCGUAAUCGCGGUCGAAAGUUCUUUCGUUGCCCUGAUCGUUAGUUUGUGUCGUACGAAGGAUCGCUUGUGUGCUUGGGCUUAUUAUAAUGGUGGAUAUGUAGUUGAUAUGUGGAUGUUGAAAGAAUAUGAUGUGUGGGAAUCAUGGACCAGGUUGUUUUGUGGUGAUAUGAGAUGUGAAUAUUGGAAUUUUUUUGGAUUUACCAAGGCCAGAGAGGUUAUGAUGUUCCAUUUUAAUUGGCUAGUACUUAUUGACUUCAGCCGAGUUCCACUUGAAUCGAGGUCUGUUUGUUUUGGACACCAAGUGACAGCUUUGAAUUAUGUAAUGGGUGUAAGAGCUCAGAUACCAUAUUGUCGAAGGAAAAUCGACUCUUCUUCCUCAGAUGUGAACAGGUUAGUCUUACAUUGAAAUUUGUUGCUUUCCUUUUGGUGUACUUGUUCAGUUUUGACUUGGUCUAUUGAUAUUCUUGUCUUUGUGCAUGAGCAACUUAUGUUUUUCUUAAGUGCUUUUUUGUUAAAGCUGUGUGAAAGGCCUAUGAUGACUAGUGGUAUUUUUGAGCUCUUGUCAAUAUGUGCCUAUGAAAAAACUAUUAUCCGAGUUCUGAGGCCUCAUCCCAGCUUUUGUGUUUUCUUGAAACCUUGCCAUGGGCGUAGGUCCAGCUUUUGAUGGUAAACGUUCUGAAGAAUCUGACAAAAUUAUUGAAGAAUAGCAAUAGCAGUAGCAGUGAAAUUAUACAGAGAGGAAACAGUUCCCUAUUAAGCUUAGUUUUGCCAUGAAUAUAAAUAAUGCUGAAGGCCAAUCUCUAUCCCAAGUUGCCCUAUAUUUAAACACCCCUUGUUUUUCACAUGGACGGCUUUAUGUUGGUCUAUGAUCAGAGUUGGCUGCAGAAAUAGAGAAAAUCGAUUUAUAAAUGAUGGAUUUAGGAGGGAGUUAGCAGGAUUGACGAUAUAGUGACUUAAAAUGCAAAACACGUGGCUUAUAGGUGCUGUAAUACAGAAGUUCAUAGGUGAACUUUUAAUCAAGUAGACAGAUUAUUAUUCAUUCAGAUUGGACCAUCAGAUCACAUGUUCUUACAAAGCAAGGAGUUCUAACAUGGGUUUACAAAGAAAAGCAAGCAGUAGCAAAAUAGCAAUAGCAGAACAGCAAGCAGCAAAAGCAGAACAAUAGUAGCAGAAGCAGAACAACAGUAGUUAUGAUAUCCUGGCUGUGAUAGUUCUUGGAGUUAUCGGAGGUGUUCUGGGCAGCUUUUAUAAUUAUCUUAUUGACAUGCGCUAUCGUUCACAACGUUGUAGCACCAGGCCCAGCAAAACAGCUAUAUGUUUUUUUUUUCAGUUUUUAAAGUGUAAUAUUACAAGCUAUUGAACAAAAUAUAUGUGUUUUAUGUAUAU